CCGCGGGAUCCGGCGAGCUCUGGAGGACAUCACACAAGGAGGCGCACCGUACAGCGACACGGACGCUCCUGAAGAGCCUUCAUCACAGGAGACAGUGUCUGUCGGUACUCCGGUGAGGGACGUCUUCUGUUCUCGUGGUGUCGUGUUUACUGAACCCUUCCACGGCUCUUAUGUUCGAGCUCAGCCCUUCGACGAGUCUCUUACUGCCAGCCAGCGGUUCCUGCCUCC